rnacentral:rRNA from 1 species
UACGAAGGGGGCUAGUGUUGCACGGAAUCACUGGGCGUAAAGCGCACGUAGGCGGACUCUUAAGUCGGUGGUGAAAUCCUGGAGCUCAACUCCAGAACUGCCUUCGAUACUGAGAGUCUCGAGUCCGGGAGAGGUGAGUGGAACUGCGAGUGUAGAGGUGAAAUUCGUAGAUAUUCGCAAGAACACCAGUGGCGAAGGCGGCUCACUGGCCCGGUACUGACGCUGAGGUGCGAAAGCGUGGGGAGCAAACAGG